UCUCGUUAUCAUGCAAUUUUGUGAGUGAAAAACUAGAAUCGCUCGAUUUUCUGGAUAAGAGUUUCAAAAGCCAUGUUAUUGUUGGGCCUAAAGCAACCUCGAGGCUUUGGUGAUUCGAGGUUGGGUUAGGUGGACCGGCGGAUUUGUAGUUACGUUCUCCAACAACGACGAUGAUUUGGAUCUACAAGGUCUCAAAGGCCUUCGAUGGGGAAGGGCAGUGGGGGGCCUGAGCCUGGAGGUUGGGUUGCUCGCGGUAACUCACCCUUCUUCAUACUCUGCAGAUCCACAGCCUCUCUCUCUCUCUCUCAUUCUCUCUCUCAAAGAUGAAGGUGAUCGCUGUUUAUUUGCUCGCUGUGUUGGGGGGCAAGACCAGAACCGAAGACAUCAAGAGCAUCCUUGGCGCCGUUGGUGCUGAAGCAGAUGAUGACAGGCUUCAGUUUCUUCUCAAGGAAGUUGAGGGAAGCUGCUCUUGAUUUGGUAGCUGUGAUGUCAGUGGAGAAUUAUGUUUAAAAGUUGACUUCUAUGUAUAUGUAGGGAUAUAUGGUUGCAUAAGGACAAAUUUUAGGAUUAAGGACUGAUGUUGAAUUCAAUUUGGGGCAAAUCUCAGACACAUGAUGUUGUAGAGGCUUUGGUUCAAGACAAAAUUUAAGCUUUGCAAAAUUUGGUUUGAUAUGGGCGAAUAUGGGAGAAUGAGUUAGCAUCAGCUUUGUUUCACAACUGGAAAUCACUGAGCAAGAGGAAAAAAUCAAACAAUAGCUUCAUCUGUUCACUGUCAAAGAUAAAUGAAGCUACAGGUAAAGGCUUUUAUUCAUGAAUUUAUAACAUUUCUAUUUGUUUGUACUCUACAACAUAUUAAUCGUAUCAAUAGUGUUGAUCAAUGAUAGUUUGAGGUUUAGGCAAUAGAUUUCAUCCUCAGCAAUGAAUGUUGACAUGAAUUAGUCACUUGAUUUUCUGACCUUCUGUGACAUUUGAAUCGUAAAGGACUCAUGAGUUGCCUUAACAAGAAAUUCUGACCAACCUUUAGCUCAGAAUGUUUUAGCUUUCAUUUCAGUAAUGUUUUUUGUUUAAAUGUUUGAGUUCAAUGAAUAUUGACUCAGAUACGAAAUUCAUUUUUUUCAUUCACUUUUGCCUAUAGCAGAUUCAUGAACAUUAUCU